CUGGGUGGACUCUCAGCAGAAGCGGUAUGUUCCAGUAAAAGGAGACCAUGUGAUUGGCAUAGUGACAGCUAAAUCUGGAGAUAUAUUCAAAGUUGAUGUUGGAGGGAGUGAGCCAGCUUCUUUGUCUUACUUGUCAUUUGAAGGUGCAACUAAAAGAAACAGACCAAAUGUGCAGGUAAUUAUGGGAGCCUUUGGUUUCAAAGAAACAAACAUCUAU
rnacentral:sRNA from 1 species